rnacentral:rRNA from 1 species
AUGAACGCUGGCGGCGUGCCUAAUACAUGCAAGUCGAGCGAACAGACGAGGAGAUUGCUCCUCUGACGUUAGCGGCGGACGGGUGAGUAACACGUGGAUAACCUACCUAUAAGACUGGGAUAACUUCGGGAAACCGGAGCUAAUACCGGAUAAUAUAUUGAACCGCAUGGUUCAAUAGUGAAAGACGGUUUUGCUGUCACUUAUAGAUGGAUCCGCGCCGCAUUAGCUAGUUGGUAAGGUAACGGCUUACCAAGGCAACGAUGCGUAGCCGACCUGAGAGGGUGAUCGGCCACACUGGAACUGAGACACGGUCCAGACUCCUACGGGAGGCAGCAGUGGGGAAUCUUCCGCAAUGGGCGAAAGCUUGACGGAGCAACGCCGCGUGAGUGAUGAAGGUCUUCGGAUCGUAAAACUCUGUUAUUAGGGAAGAACAAAUGUGUAAGUAACUAUGCACGUCUUGACGGUACCUAAUCAGAAAGCCACGGCUAACUACGUG